GCGUCCAUAGUGUAGUGGUGAUCACGUCUCUUUCCCAUUGGUCUCUGAUGGAGAAGAUGUCGGCGAAAAGAGGAGGGCGCGGGUUCGAACCCCGCUGGUCGCA
rnacentral:tRNA from 1 species